CGGCAACUUUGUCACUUGUGGGCGGAAUGAGCCCAAGAGUGACAAAAUCCUUGGCCAAUGCACUGUAAUCACGAUUCACUAGAUGGAGACAUGCUUCAAUGAAACCAUCACGAUAUUCUUGUUUGAAUUCACCCAUCAUACCGAAAUCUAAGUAGGCUAGUUUCCCGUCAUAUGUACGAAGAAGGUUUCCAGGAUGUGGAUCUGCAUGAUAGAAUCCAUACUCUAGAAGUUGAUUGAAUGAGCAAUAAACCCCUACCUCAACCAAAUAAAGAUCCUUGACCCCAGCCAGCUUUUGCCCCUCUAGCCACUGCAUAAUGAGCACUUUCCGGGUUGUCAGUGCCAAAUUCAUUUCAG
rnacentral:misc_RNA from 1 species